rnacentral:misc_RNA from 1 species
GAUGAAGAACGCAGCGAAAUGCGAUAAGUAGUGUGAAUUGCAGAAUUCAGUGAAUCAUCGAAUCUUUGAACGCACAUUGCGCCCCUUGGUAUUCCAUGGGGCAUGCCUGUUCGAGCGGCAUUUGUACCUUCAAGCUUUGCUUGGUGUUGGGUGUUUGUCUCGCCUUUGCGUGUAGACUCGCCUUAGAAUAAUUGGCAGCCGGCGUAUUGAUUUCGGAGCGCAGUACAUCUCGCGCUUUGCACUCAUAACGACAGCGUCCAAAAGUACAUUUUACACUCUUGACCUCGGAUCAGGUAGGGAUACCCGCUGAACUUAAGCAUAUCAAUAAGCGGAGGA